GACGAACGCUGGCGGCGUGCCUAAUACAUGCAAGUCGAACGCAGUGGGGACGGGUGAGUAACACGUGGGUAACCUCCCAUCAGAGGGGAUAACACUUGGAAACAGGUGCUAAACCGAUACUGAUGGAUGGACCCGCGGUGCAUUAGCUAGCUGGUGGGGUAACGGCUCACCAAGGCCACGAUGCAUAGCCGACCUGAAAGGAUGAUCGGCCACACUGGGACUGGAACACGGCCACGACUCCUACGGGGAGGAGCAGUAGGGAAUCUUCGGCAAUGGACGAAAGUCUGACCGAGCAACGCCGCGUGAGUGAAAAAGGUUUUCGGAUCGUAAAGCUCUGUUGUUAGAAAAGCGGUAUCUAACCAGAAAGCCACGGCUAACUACGUGCCAGCCGCCGCGGUAAUAC
rnacentral:rRNA from 1 species